UGACCCCUGUCCGCCGUGAAGCUCCAAGUUCCACUUGGAGUACGCUCACAGCAUAGCGGCGACGGGGGUCA
rnacentral:ncRNA from 1 species